UACGUAGGGUGCAAGCGUUAAUCGGAAUUACUGGGCGUAAAGCGUGCGCAGGCGGUUAUAUAAGACAGUUGUGAAAUCCCCGGAGCAUCACGAUGGACUGCAUCUGUGACUGUAUAGCUAGAGUACGGUAGAGGGGGAUGGAAUUCCGCGUGUAGCAGUGAAAUGCGUAGAUAUGCGGAGGAACACCGAUGGCGAAGGCAAUCCCCUGGACCUGUACUGACGCUCAUGCACGAAAGCGUGGGGAGCAAACAGG
rnacentral:rRNA from 1 species